rfam:Mus musculus chromosome 14, GRC primary reference assembly.
CCUAAGAAGUACAGGAGGUCACUCUCCCGGGGCUCUGUUCUAGUGGCUUGUGGGAGCUUAGGGCAUCGCCCAGUGAUGUACAGUCCCUUUCCACAACAUUGGAGAUUAACCUGGGCUUCUGAGUCUGCGCCUGCAUAUUCCUAUGACUACUUAGCAUUCUGUGGACAAUGACUGAGGAGACAAACCAUGCAGGAAACAAGG